AUUUCGGGUUCUUUGGGCUAGAAACCAGUUUUUGAUCGACUUAGAGUUCCAGUUUGAGUUCAGGGCCCUCUGUGAAGUUAAAGUAGACAUCUCAAGCUUUUCAGAAAGUUUGCUCUAGUUUGGGUUAUGUGCUGUCCCACGAAGGUGCUUAUUUGGUUUUUGUUGGGUGUUGUUUUUACGCUGAUGGAGGGUUGGUUUCCUUGGCUUAUGUUUGUGCAUUCUUU